GCCCCGGUAGACGAAUUGGAUACAGUCGCCAGCCUUUCAAGCUGGGAUAUGCGGGUUCGAGUCCUGUCCGGGGUACCA
rnacentral:tRNA from 1 species